UAUUUGUAACAUACUUGGGCCAUUAUUUGUUGCUUAUGUUGCCAGGGAAGAAAUUUUGCAAGAGUAGUCCAAAGACCAUAGGCUCAAACCCCUACGAGGAAUGACUAAAUGGUGACCAUCUCUUUAGACUAAGUGUAUUGAAUUGCCUGAUUUUAUGAGGAAACUUGAUCACAGCCUAUGGGUUACCUGUAAAAUAUCAGUAAUAUAAAGAUAUCAAAACAUCAGUUCUAGCUCAAGAGAUUUUGAGUGUUUGACAAUGGAGAGGAAAGACUUUUUCAGUUAAAACUCUAAGAAGGAAUCAUGGGGGGGGGGGUUGGAGAAGAGGAAGAUCAGAAACCCAGGACUCAGUCUCAGCAGUCUUCCUUAACCCACGCCAUUCCUUUUGGCCCUCUCUUCCUCACUGCCAGAUGUUGGAGAUCUCUUCUUGGGCAGGUUUGAUUCUAUUUGUGUGAAAUGGAUUUUGAAAUUGUGUUCAUCUAGUUCCUGGUUUGUCUUGGCAAAUAGACUCCCCAUUACAGGUUUCCAUAUCAUGAUGCAUGCUGGAGCAAAAAGGGAAGCAAAUAAAAUCAAGAUGUUAUCAAAGAAAGAAGAGCCGGGGCAUGAUUUUCACUACAAAUGUUUCCUACGUAGCCUAAACCAACCCUAUGAGUUGAAGACAAUUAAAUGAACAGUAUCAUAUUGUAAAUGUCCUCCUCCAAAAGUUUUCUGUUGCCAUAUGUGAA